rnacentral:lncRNA from 1 species
UCUCUUUUCCUGCCCCAAAUUUAGAAUACACUAAUCGAAUAAACCCCCCUAUAAUCUCCGAUUUCAAUCUUUAUCCUUCAAUUCAAAUAAGUCUCUCUUUUCAAUAUCCAAUCUCUGUUCUCUAUUCUUCAAUCAGGUAUGAAAUUUUACAACUUUAAUUUUUAUGUUUGAUGUACUGAUUUUUUAUCUUUACAACUCACAAAAUUAGGUAUUUAGAUUGUAGAUAAUAAUUUCCUUCCAUUGUGAUUGGAAUUAGGACCAUCGGAGUGAUGAAAAAUGGAGAAUCUGGCAAAUGGGAUGCCAAGAUGAUUCAAUCACAAAGAUCUUAGGAAUUUUCAUCUUUUCAAUUAAGAAUUCUUGAAUCGAAUUUCUGUUCAAGCAUGCUAUGAAAUCAUGCGAGAAGAUAUAUUAUAAUGUCUUAUAUAUAACUUGGUUUACACGUUUCAUUCAAAACUCCCCCAGUGAGAAAAG